CUACGGAGGGUGCAAGCGUUGUUCGGAAUCACUGGGCGUAAAGGGCGCGCAGGCGGUUUGGUAAGUCAGAUGUGAAAGCCCACGGCUCGACCGUGGAAGUGCAUUUGAAACUGUCAGACUUGAGUACUAGAGGGGAAAGUGGAAUUCCCGGUGUAGAGGUGAAAUUCGUAGAUAUCGGGAGGAAUACCGGUGGCGAAGGCGACUUUCUGGCUAGAUACUGACGCUGAGGCGCGAAAGCGUGGGGAGCGAACAGGAUUAGAAACCCUAGUAGUCC
rnacentral:rRNA from 1 species